rnacentral:rRNA from 1 species
AUUGAACGCUGGCGGCAGGCCUAACACAUGCAAGUCGAGCGGUUGAGGUAGCUUGCUACCGAUGCAGCGGCGGACGGGUGAGUAAUACAUGGGAAUCUGCCUGGUAGUGGGGGACAACGUUUCGAAAGGAACGCUAAUACCGCAUACGCCCUACGGGGGAAAGGGGGGGAGUCGCAAGACCUCUCGCUAUCAGAUGAGCC